CAAAAACAUCGCCUUUUGAUUCACAAUAAAAGGUCCAUCCUGCCCAGUGACAUUUAGUUUAACGGCCGCGGUAUCCUGACCGUGCAAAGGUAGCAUAAUCAUUUGUCCCUUAAUUAGGGACUAGAAUGAAUGGAUAAACGAAAGCUUAACUGUAUCGACUAGACAAAUAAAAAUUAUCAUUCAAGUGAAGAGACCUGAAUUAUUAAAAAAGACAAGAAGACCCUGUUGAGCUGUACUUCAAUUUCCUUAGAGCCCACUAUUAAUAUUUUAAUUCAAAGAAAAAGAAGUUUGGUUGGGGCGACCAAGGAAUUAAUAUUUCUUCCUUUAAACAAAAGGUAAAUAAACCUCUAUUAACGAUCCUUAAUAUAAGACUAAAAACUUAGCUACCACAGGGAUAACAGGCUAAUCCUUCUCGAGAGCCCAAAUUAACAGAAGGGAUUGGCACCUCGAUGUUGGCUUAGGGUACCCAAUAGAUGCAGCAGUCUAUAAGGUAGGUUUGUUCAACCUAUAACACCCUACAUGAGCUGAGUUCAGACCG
rnacentral:rRNA from 1 species